UACGUAGGGUGCGAGCGUUGCCCGGAUUUAUUGGGCGUAAAGGGCGCGUAGGCGGCCACGCACGUCCGUUGUGAAAUCGCCCGGCUCAACUGGGCGGGGUCAGCGGAUACGGUGUGGCUCGAGCAAGCUAGGGGGCAAUGGAACUCCCGGUGUAGUGGUGGAAUGCGUAGAUAUCGGGAAGAACACCAGUGGCGAAGGCGGUUGCCUGGAGCUUUGCUGACGCUGAUGCGCGAA
rnacentral:rRNA from 1 species